UACAGAGGUCUCAAGCGUUGUUCGGAUUCAUUGGGCGUAAAGGGUGCGUAGGCGGCGCGGUAAGUCGGGUGUGAAAUCUCGGAGCUUAACUCCGAAACUGCAUUCGAUACUGCCGUGCUUGAGGACUGGAGAGGAGACUGGAAUUUACGGUGUAGCGGUGAAAUGCGUAGAUAUCGAGAGGAACACCAGUGGCGAAGGCGAGUCCCUGGACAACACCUGACACUGAGGCACGAAAGCCGGGGGAGCAAACAGG
rnacentral:rRNA from 1 species